AGUGAACGCUGGCGGUAGGCCUAACACAUGCAAGUCGAACGGCAGCACAGUAAGAGCUUGCUCUUACGGGUGGCGAGUGGCGGACGGGUGAGGAAUACAUCGGAAUCUACUUUUUCGUGGGGGAUAACGUAGGGAAACUUACGCUAAUACCGCAUACGACCUACGGGUGAAAGCAGGGGAUCUUCGGACCUUGCGCGAUUGAAUGAGCCGAUGUCGGAUUAGCUAGUUGGCGGGGUAAGGCCCAACAAGGCGACGAUCCGUAGCUGGUCUGAGAGGAUGAUCAGCCACACUGGAACUGAGACACGGUCCAGACUCCUACGGGAGGCAGCAGUGGGGAAUAUUGGACAAUGGGCGCAAGCCUGAUCCAGCCAUACCGCGUGGGUGAAGAAGGCCUUCGGGUUGUAAAGCCCUUUUGUUGGGAAAGAAAAGCAGCAGGUUAAUACCCCGCUGUUCUGACGGUACCCAAAGAAUAAGCACCGGCUAACCUCGUG
rnacentral:rRNA from 1 species